rnacentral:rRNA from 1 species
GACGUACCACCCAAACGUUAUUCGGAAUCACUGGGCGUAAAGGGUGCGUAGGCGGCCGUGCAAGUCUGGCGUGAAAGCCCCGGGCUCAGCCCGGGAAGUGCGCUCGAAACUGCGCGGCUCGAGUGCCGGAGGGGAGAGUGGAAUUCCUGGUGUAGCGGUGAAAUGCGUAGAUAUCAGGAGGAAUACCGGUGGCGAAAGCGACUCUCUGGACGGCAACUGACGCUGAGGCACGAAAGCGUGGGGAGCAAACAGG